rnacentral:rRNA from 1 species
GACGUAUGGGGCAAGCGUUACUCGGAUUAACUGGGCGUAAAGGGCGCAUAGGCGGUAGUGAAAGUCAAAUGUGAAAUACCACGGCUUAACUGUGGAUCCGCAUUUGAAACUCUGCUACUUGAGUUCAGGUGAGGAGAAUGGAAUUCCAGGUGUAGGGGUGAAAUCUGUAGAUAUCUGGAAGAACACCAAUGGCGAAGGCAAUUCUCUAGCCUGAUACUGACGCUAAGGCGCGAAAGCGUGGGGAG